UCCCAUGGCCUAGUGGUAAGAGUGUUUGCCUUGGAUGCAGGAUGUUGCAGGUUCAAACCCUGGCCUUGUCAU